rnacentral:rRNA from 1 species
UUUCUAGUGGCGAACGGGUGCGUAACACGUGAGCAACCUACCCGAAAGAGGGGGAUAGCCCGGGGAAACUCGGAUUAAUACCCCAUGUGAUUGCCCAGGGGAACCUGCGGUUAUUAAAGGUGGGGGUCUUCGGACCUGCCGCUUUCGGACGGGCUCGCGGCCUAUCAACUUGUUGGUGUGGUAACGGCUCACCAAGGCUACGACGGGUAACUGGUUUGAGAGAAUGAUCAGCCACACUGGGACUGAGACACGGCCCAG